rnacentral:rRNA from 1 species
AUUGAACGCUGGCGGCAUGCUUUACACAUGCAAGUCGAACGGUAACAGGUUAAGCUGACGAGUGGCGAACGGGUGAGUAAUGUAUCGGAACGUACCUUUCAGUGGGGGAUAACGUAGCGAAAGUUACGCUAAUACCGCAUAUUCUGUGAGCAGGAAAGCAGGGGAUCGCAAGACCUUGCGCUGAUUGAGCGGCCGAUAUCAGAUUAGCUAGUUGGUGGGGUAACGGCCUACCAAGGCAACGAUCUGUAGCGGGUCUGAGAGGAUGAUCCGCCAGACUGGAACUGAGACACGGUCCAGACUCCUACGGGAGGCAGCAGUGGGGAAUUUUGGACAAUGGGGGCAACCCUGAUCCAGCCAUGCCGCGUGAGUGAAGAAGGCCUUCGGGUUGUAAAGCUCUUUCGGCCGGGAAGAAAUCGCAUCAGCUAAUACCUGGUGUGGAUGACGGUACCGGAAUAAGAAGCACCGGCUAACUACGUGCCAGCCGCCGCGGUAA